rnacentral:rRNA from 1 species
GAUGAACGCUGGCGGCGUGCCUAAUACAUGCAAGUCGAGCGAACGGACGAGAAGCUUGCUUCUCUGAUGUUAGCGGCUGACGGGUGAGUAACACGUGGAUCACCUACCUAUAAGACUGGGAUAACUUCGGGAAACCGGAGCUACUACCGGCUAAUAUUUUGAACCGCAUGGUUCAAAAGUGAAAGACGGUCUUGCUGUCACUUAUAGAUGGAUCCGCGCUGCAUUAGCUAGUUGGUAAGGUAACGGCUUACCAAGGCAACGAUGCAUAGCCGGCCUGAGAGGGUGAUCGGCCACACUGGAACUGAGACACGGUCCAGACUCCUACGGGAGGCAGCAGUGGGGAAUCUUCCGCAAUGGGCGAAAGCCUGACGGAGCAACGCCGCGUGAGUGAUGAAGGUCUUCGGAUCGUAAAACUCUGUUAUUAGGGAAGAACAUAUGUGUAAGUAACUGUGCACAUCUUGACGGUACCUAAUCAGAAAGCCACGGCUAACUACGUG